GAUGAACGCUGACAGAAUGCUUAACACAUGCAAGUCGAUGGGGAAGUGGUGCUUGCACCAUGGUAACCAUGGCGGACGGGUGAGUAACGCGUAAGGAACUUGCCUGCGGGACUGGGAUAACAGCAGGAAACUGCUGAUAAUACCGGAUAAGGUCAUUAAGCUGCAUAGCUUAGUGAUGAAAGGAGACGCCUGCGGAGAGCCUUGCGUCCUAUUAGCUAGUUGGAGGGGUAACGGCCCACCAAGGCGAAGAUAGGUAGCCGGCCUGAGAGGGUGGACGGCCACAAGGGGACUGAGAUACGGCCCUUACUCCUACGGGAGGCAGCAGUGGGGAAUAUUGGACAAUGGGGGCAACCCUGACCCAGCAAUUCUGUGUGCACGAAGACGGUUUUCGGAGUGUAAAGUGCUUUCAGCAGGGAAGAAGGAAGUGACGGUACCUGCAGAAGAAGCGACGGCUAAAUACGUG
rnacentral:rRNA from 1 species